rnacentral:rRNA from 1 species
UUGAACGCUGGCGGCAGGCCUAACACAUGCAAGUCGAGCGCGAAAGGUUUUCGGACUGAGUAAAGCGGCGGACGGGUGAGUAACGCGUGGGAAUCUGCCCAGUAGUGGGGGACAACAGCCGGAAACGGCUGCUAAUACCGCAUACGCCCUACGGGGGAAAGGGGGGGAUCUUCGGACCUCUCGCUAUUGGAUGAGCCCGCGUCGGAUUAGCUAGUUGGUAGGGUAAAGGCCUACAAAGGCUACGAUCCGUAACUGGUCUGAGAGGAUGAUCAGUAACACUGGAACUGAGACACGGUCCAGACUCCUACGGGAGGAAGCGGUGGGGAAUAUUGGACGAUGGGGGCAACCCUGAUCCAGCCAUGCCGCGUGUGUGAAGAAGGCCUUAGGGUUGUAAAGCACUUUCAGUGGGGAGAAAGGUUUGUCACCUAAUACGUGAUGAAAUUGAUGUUACCCACAGAAGAAGCACCGGCUAACUCCGUGCCAGCAGCCGCCGCAG